AUAUAUAUAUAUAUAUAUAUAUAUAUAUACUUACAUACAUACAGUUUAGACUCUUGAAAGCCAUUGAAAUUCAUACUAUUAGCAUUGUACAUGGUGCAGGAAAAAUAUAUUUUAUAUGUAUAUUCUGUAUACUUGUAUGGCAUUUCUUAGGGUCAAAAUAUUGCAGUAUCAUGGUUUCAAUAAUAAUAAUUUAUUACAAUACCAUUUCCACAUAUAAAUUGAUUUGUAUUAAUUGUAUCUAAGGACCCUGGCUUGACCUGAUAUUUUGUUAAAAGGGUUAUCCCAGUAGGCAACUCUUUUUAAGGACAAACAUAGUACAAACAUUUUUUUGGUUGUAUCGUGUUCAUGCAAGAUAAUUUCUGCAAAAAGGUUUUUAUUAUAUUUUUCUAUUCUCUUGUGAUUGCAUAUAUUUUAUCCAGUUACUUUGAGUAUGUAUUUAUCGAUUCCUGUUCAAUACAGUAUAUUGAGAAGUUACCGUUUCUAAACUUUAUGGAAGUAAUCUACAUAAUGGGCGAUUUAAAUUAUUGAAAAGUAUAUAUUGUUACUAAUACAUUUUUGGAGUGUAAUAUUCACUAGCUUAAAUAUUUAUUUAUACAAAAAGGCAGAAAUGUUGUGUAUAUAUAUAUAUAGCACAAGUUCGUUCUAUCAUAAAUUGAUUAAUUUACUGAAAUGCAAAUUUAGUUCUAAAUACACAAUGAAAUCACAAUAACAUGAUAUUAUCUGUGAGAAAAUCUGUGAAGCAUGACGGCCUUUAACCAGCAUCCUGGGUACCCCAGACGCCCUUCCUUUAGCACAUCAUGGUCCAUGGGUUGAAGACGUGUGUCUGAGGUAGGCCAGACGCUCUUCCUUUAGCACAUCAUGGUCCAUGGGUUGAAGACGUGUCUGAUGUAGGGCAGACGCUCUUCCUUUAGCACAUCAUGGUCCAUGGAUUGAAGACGUGUGUCUGAGGUAGGCCAGACGCUCUUCCUUUAGCACAUCAUGGUCCAUGGGUUGAAGACGUGUGUCUGAGGUAACCCAGGAUGCUGGUUCUAUCUUCCCGUCCUGUUCCAAAGAAUUUCUCGUGGUUCUUAAUUCUUGUGCACUUAUGUCGAUGUCACUUUAUUAGUGAAUUCUUGUAACAUGUAGAUUACUUAUUACAAGAACUGAUUAAUAAGCUCUUAAAGAACUUAUUAAUCUGAUAUAAGCUCUUGAGAACUAAAGAACUGAUAAAGUGUACUGUAAUCUCUUAAAGAGAAGGUUUAGUGCAUCAUGGGAGAACUUGCCAACAUUUGAUCAUUAAACCCCAUGUCUUCCAAAAGAUAAUUUGAUUGCAAUUUUAAUAAAAGUAGAAGGCUUAGUAAGCCAAAAAAAAACAGAAGGAAAGAGAUGUACACUUUUGCAAAAGGUGAUACUCAUAAUUCGUGAGGUUUUCCUGGAAUAACCUUUUGUUUUCAGUUUGACAUCCAUUUUGUCCAUUUUCUCUAAUGUUCCAUUGUCCAUUUUCUUUAAUGUUUGCAAUGCAGCUGACUACUUGAGUUGUCGUAGUUCUAAGUUCAGCAUACCACCCUUUUUCAUAUUCUGAGGCAGUUAUUAAAUGCUGAAAAAAUGUUUGCGAGUUGUAAUUUGGUUACCCAGAUAUGAAAUAUUGUUGUCUGUUAUAAAAGUGGUCAGUACACAUGCAUCUUGUAACUAUAAAUAUAGUAUUAAUUAUAAAAUAUAUUUUGUAUCAAAAUAGCAAAGUAAAUAAAUAAUUUAUGAAGC